rnacentral:piRNA from 1 species
UGGUCCCUCUUCCUUACCUAGUUGGCCA